rnacentral:rRNA from 1 species
UGAGGAAUAUUGGUCAAUGGGCGGCAGCCUGAACCAGCCAUCCCGCGUGAAGGAAGAAUGCGCUAUGCGUUGUAAACUUCUUUUUCAGGGGGAUAAAAUUCUGUAUGUAUACAGGACUGAAGGUACCCUGAGAAUAAGCAUCGGCUAACUCCGUGCCAGCAGCCGCGGUAAUACGGAGGAUGCGAGCGUUAUCCGGCUUUAUUGGGUUUAAAGGGUGCGUAGGCGGAAUAAGAAGUCAGUGGUGAAACCCUGCAGCUUAACUGUAGACUUGCCAUUGAUACUGUUUUGCUUGAGUAUGGGCAAGGCAGGCGGAAUGUGUAAUGUAGCGGUGAAAUGCUUAGAUAUUACAAAGAACACCGAUAGCGAAGGCAGCUUGCUGGGCCGUUACUGACGCUGAUGCACGAAAGCGUGGGGAUCGAACA